rnacentral:lncRNA from 1 species
AAUCUGAGUGAAAACAUCAUCUAUUCCCUCUGUGUUUCUUUAUCCUCCGCCACUUCGAAUUCUUCCUUUGUGAGCCCCUCCCCUCACCCAGAGGCCAUUUCCAAAGAGAUCUGUGGAACACCCACAACUAACACGCAUUGGCGCAAUCCUAUUAAGAAGAAAAAUCACAUUUAUAGAGAGGAAGUAGCCUGCAAGCAUCAAAAGAGGAUGAUCAAGAAAAAGCCAUGUGGUUUCUGGAGCCUUGUGCUCGGAAGAUGGACACAGUUUCUAGACAGCAAGCGCGCUCCACAGAGGCCUCCUACAUGCCUGGUAGAGAUACCGCUCAGUAAAAGUUUACACUGAUCUCAUAUUGUUUCUCGGUAACUUUGUAGCAGAAUCAUUCUUCUAACACCAGGGCACAUUUGUGGAUGUAUGGAAACAUUUUUGGUUGACAAAAGUGUAUUUUACUACUGGCAUUUAGUGGGUGGAGACCAAAGAUUCUGCUAAACAUCCUAAAAGACAAAAGACAGCCCCACACAAGAAAGAAUUGUCCAGUCCCUAAUGUCCAAAGUUCUGAUGUUCAAAACCCCUGACUAGAGAAUCUGAACACAACUCGAGAGAAGAGACAAUCGAGUGUGAAGAGUAGUCUUUCUUCAGGAACUGAAGAUUGCAGCCUUGGUCUUUAAAGUGCCCAAUAACAAUCGAGAAGAUGAUGAUGGCUGGGAAAAGGUAACUCUGGUGGCACAGUGAGUACCAGAAAGCAGAGGAAAUUCUGUACUCUCUCUCAUCUGGAAGUGGGAAUUUGGAUGACCUCCAGUCAUUUCUUUUAAAGCCUAACAUACUAGAUGCACUGGUUGUCAUUUUAACUUGGGAUUUACAUAUUGCCA